rnacentral:rRNA from 1 species
GAGAUGGAAGCGGAUAGAGCUAGCGUAUCUGGCCUGGAUUCAGCCGUAGGUUUGUUAAUGCCCGGAGUGUUCGGUCUCCAGAUUGGGAUCGGCGUUUGGGUUGUUGGCUAACUUAUGGUGCAUUUUCAGGUGGUGUGCGCCGAGAGCCCUGGGAUGGCUUCAUGAAUCUAGUCUUGAGGCCAGCUUGCUGGUACCCAGAUUGGACUAGUGUUGUUCAUCCUAGGGUUUGUUUGUUUCUGACAUGGCAUACGGGCUCGGGUGGGGUUGAGCUGGAGGUCGGUUACGAUCGCAUGCGAUACGUGCUGUGCAUUCAGUUCGGUCCUAUUCGARCUCUCAUGGCUAUUCUCGGUGUAAAAGCUGGUCACCUAUCCGACCCGUCUUGAAACACGGACCAAGGAGUUUAUCGUGUGCGCGAGUCAUUGGGUGUUUAAAACCCAAAGGCGCAAUGAAAGUGAAUGCAUCCGCAAGGAGCUGACGUGCGAUCUUAGACACCUCGGUGUCCGAGAGCAGCAUGGCCCCAUCCUGACUGCAUGCAGUGGGGUGGAGGUAGAGCGUACACGGUGAGACCCGAAAGAUGGUGAACUAUUCCUGAGCAGCAUGAAGCCAGA